rnacentral:rRNA from 1 species
CAUGGGUUAGUCGAUCCUAAGAGUCUGGGUCCUCUGUGAAAGCAGGCUUUGCUGCAAUACUCGAAAGGGAAUGGGGUUAACAUUCUCCAACCAGGGCGCGGAAUUUGUGCGGCGACGUUGGCUUCGUUUGGUGACGCGGGGGGGAGCCCUUGGAAGCGAUGUCUUUUCUUGUUUACCCCUCCACACCCUGGAAACAGUCUGCCUGGGGAUAGGGUUGGUUGGUGGGUAUAGCACUUCGCCCUCAGAGGUGUCUGGUGAGCUCCUCACUGCCCUUGAAAAGCUGAACGUAGCAUUUUUCGUCCCUGUUCGUACCCAUAGCCGCAUCAGGUCUCCAAGGUUAGCUGCCUCUGGUCUCUA